CCAAAGAGAUCCUUUUCACCGCUCCGUUUGAGCCGUAAUGCCUUGGGGCGUCCUGUAUUCCUGCUAAAGUGAGGGCAGAAUUACAGCAAACAAACAAACAAACACCAAACAACCCAAAACAACCCCUAACUUUGAGAAAUCCGCUCAUAAAGCAGCAUGGGAGGUUGCAUUGUGCUGUAAAAGCACAUCGUCCUCCUGAAAGCAAAACCAGACACACGAGAAGCGCACGGCGAGCAGUCGGACACGGAGCUGCUCCAGCAGGGAAUGGUGGGCACAGGUCUUCUGGCAAGCAGACUGCUGAGAACGUCUCUGUGAUGAGGGACGAAGGAUGUGCUUGAAAUGGGAGGAUUGUGUUCUGUGCAACCACUGAGCAAAGGAGCUGUGGAGAUCUGCUGCCAUCAGUGCCCAGUUUGGUACUGGAAAGCCUAAGCCAGUGCCAGUAAUGAGAUUUGGUGAAGGAGAAAAUUUGUAUUUAACAAAACAGAAAAAGCCUCGGGUGAUAGAGAAGAAAAAGGAGAGCAGCAGGACAAGUGGAAGCCAUCGAGGUGCCCUUAAAGCAGCAGAGCAGUGGCACACGAGGCUUCCAGGAGCCCGGCCUCAGAAGAAGUGCCCCAUAGGCUGUCACUGAGUUGAACUUAUGUACUGAUUUUACAUCUCUUUCAAAAGCAGCAACGUUAUUUAAAAGAAAAUGCUAUAAUGCUUUUAUACGGAAGAAAUUUGUAUUGGAACGUCCGUGGAAUGGCCCUGAGCUGCUGAAUUCAUCACCUGCUUGGCAUGUUUUCCCAUAGGCAGGGUUCUCAUGAGGCCUGAGUGCCCAUAGCAAACUUUGAUGUGAAACUGGGAUGUGAUCAACACCCAGAGAUGUCAGCAGAGGACAGAACCUGUUGGUUUUCCUGGUGCUCCCCAUUCCCCAGCAGCUGCUGUUCUUCUCUUGAGUUUGUCUGCUUCAUUCAGUGAUGCGGAUCUGUGCCUCACAUCCACUCUGCAGUUAGAAAUAGUUACACAGGUUGCCAUGAAUAAAAGCUUAUCUUGCCAGGAUGGGGAUGACACAGUUCUGAUACUGUGGUUAGACUUGGAGGAGCAUUAAUUCCAAUGUGUCAGCCUGUGUGGGUGAAGUGCUGGCCCUUAUUCCUGUCCUGUGUUCCUUUCCCACCAUAGGGAUGCACUGCCAUGACUGAGCGCAGUGCUGACACGGCCCAGCUGUGUCUGUCUGUCCUUCCUUCACUUAAAGCAAGCUCAAAGGACUACGAGAGCGUUGAAUAGCAGAAGAACUAAUUGGUAUUUUUGAAAAUGUAACAUUAAGUAAAGCUCAAAGUUUAUGAACAGGUUUGAUAGAGAACUAAAAGACCCAUGAUGUGUUUCUAUGGAAACUACAGCUUAAGGUUUUUAUCUGAUGAGAUUCUAAAAGGAGAACAAUCUGUCUCUUUUCUGAUUUCAGUAGACAGAGAAUAAAUACAGCCAAAUCAAUUGCUAAGUGGUCUUUGAAAAGAUAGCUAAUGAAGUGCUUCAGGAUGAAAACUGCUGCAAAAAUGGAAGGUGACACUUCUGUCUUAAUCACUGCCACUAAUUAUAUGAGAUUUUCAGGACAGAUUGCUGGUGAGAAGCUGCAGCUCAGCAGUCAAAAUAUUUGUGCAUGUUUCCAUGCAGCUGCUGUCCCUGCUUUGUUUGUUUAUUUAUUUAUUUGCGCUCCGUCUGAUGACGAGAGCUUCUGUCACACAGCGUGGUGCUCACGGACGGUCCUGGGCCGUGUGUGGGAAUCUGCUGUGUGCUUCUCUGCCCACCUCCAGUGCUGACCCCACAUCCCGCUUCCAGCGCCCAACGUGGCCCUGGGGCUGCUUGGGAGCUGCUGGCCCUGUGUGUGCUGUGCUGGGCUGGGCUGAGCGCUGCUGCUGUGUGCUGUGCGAUGGCUGGGCUGCACCAUUGGCUCGUUGUAGCACACGUGCAGUGUGCUGGUCAGAAGUGAAAGCUGUGAUUCACGAAGCCAUUGUGCUAUUCCUGUCCACGUUUUCAUUCACUUUGAUGUCACUUGCUUGAUCUGCACAGAUUGCUCCCAGCCUUACGAUUCGUGGCGCACAGUCUAUUCAUCCUCACUUUCUUCCAGAUCUUUCAGUAUUUGAUGGCAGGGACUCACGUCACCAAGCCUUCACCCAGAGCCAGAGCACCUUGUGCCAGCUGUGAUGAGCUCCUCCCCACUUCCCCAGGCCACACAAUUAACUUCAUUUUGAAAAGAACAUAUGGCCGUGUUUAGAACUGGCAGAGGCUGAGAUGUUUCCACUUUUGAUUCUCUUCUAAUUUUGACGGUCACAGCAAAUGAAAUAACAUAUGUACUUGUGUCUUCCUUCUGAUGAAGAAAAAUACCAAACUGAGGUUAUCUGAAUACUAAUAUACACGGCCUCUUUUCUCUGACACAAAAGGAAUCAUACCCUUCUGCACGGUGAUGGCUUCUUACAAAGCAAC